rnacentral:rRNA from 1 species
UGAGCAAUCUGCCCUUCUCAUCGGAAUAAGCGUUGGAAACGACGUCUAAUGCCGAAUACGACCUCCUUUCGCAUGAUCGGAGGUGGAAAGCUCCGGCGGAGAAGGAUGAGCUCGCGGCCUAUCAGCUAGUUGGUGUGGGUAAUGGCCCACAAGGCGACGACGGGUAGCCGGCCUGAGGAGGGUGACCCGGCCACACGUGGGACUGGACGACACGGCCCAGACCUCCGACGGG